rnacentral:rRNA from 1 species
UGAACGCUAGCUACAGGCUUAACACAUGCAAGUCGAGGGGCAGCAUUUUAGUUUGCUUGCAAACUGAAGAUGGCGACCGGCGCACGGGUGAGUAACACGUAUCCAACCUGCCGAUAACUCCGGAAUAGCCUUUCGAAAGAAAGAUUAAUACCGGAUAGCAUACGAAUAUCGCAUGAUAUUUUUAUUAAAGAAUUUCGGUUAUCGAUGGGGAUGCGUUCCAUUAGUUUGUUGGCGGGGUAACGGCCCACCAAGACUACGAUGGAUAGGGGUUCUGAGAGGAAGGUCCCCCACAUUGGAACUGAGACACGGUCCAAACUCCUACGGGAGGCAGCAGUGAGGAAUAUUGGUCAAUGGGCGAGAGCCUGAACCAGCCAAGUAGCGUGAAGGAUGAAGGCUCUAUGGGUCGUAAACUUCUUUUAUAUGGGAAUAAAGUUUUCCACGUGUGGAAUUUUGUAUGUACCAUAUGAAUAAGGAUCGGCUAACUCCGUGCCAGCAGCCGCGGUAAUACGGAGGAUCCGAGCGUUAUCCGGAUUUAUUGGGUUUAAAGGGAGCGUAGGUGGAUUGUUAAAGUCAGUUGUGAAAGUUUGCGGCUCAACCGUAAAAUUGCAGUUGAAACUGGCAGUCUUGAGUACAGUAGAGGUGGGCGGAAUUCGUGGUGUAGCGGUGAAAUGCUUAGAUAUCACGAAGAACUCCGAUUGCGAAGGCAGCUCACUAGACUGUCACUGACACUGAUGCUCGAAAGUGUGGGUAUCAAACAGGAUUAGAUACCCUGGUAGUCCACACAGUAAACGAUGAAUACUCGCUGUUUGCGAUAUACAGUAAGCGGCCAAGCGAAAGCAUUAAGUAUUCCACCUGGGGAGUACGCCGGCAACGGUGAAACUCAAAGGAAUUGACGGGGGCCCGCACAAGCGGAGGAACAUGUGGUUUAAUUCGAUGAUACGCGAGGAACCUUACCCGGGCUUAAAUUGCAACAGAAUAUAUUGGAAACAGUAUAGCCGUAAGGCUGUUGUGAAGGUGCUGCAUGGUUGUCGUCAGCUCGUGCCGUGAGGUGUCGGCUUAAGUGCCAUAACGAGCGCAACCCUUAUCUUUAGUUACUAACAGGUCAUGCUGAGGACUCUAGAGAGACUGCCGUCGUAAGAUGUGAGGAAGGUGGGGAUGACGUCAAAUCAGCACGGCCCUUACGUCCGGGGCUACACACGUGUUACAAUGGGGGGUACAGAAGGCGGCUACCUGGUGACAGGAUGCUAAUCCCAAAAACCUCUCUCAGUUCGGAUCGAAGUCUGCAACCCGACUUCGUGAAGCUGGAUUCGCUAGUAAUCGCGCAUCAGCCAUGGCGCGGUGAAUACGUUCCCGGGCCUUGUACACACCGCCCGUCAAGCCAUGAAAGCCGGGGGUACCUGAAGUACGUAACCGCAAGGAGCGUCCUAGGGUAAAACUGGUAAAGGG